rnacentral:lncRNA from 1 species
GGAGCGGCGUGGCUUUCCCCGGCACGAUGCUCUGCUCGUGUUGUGGCCGGCACAUCGUGGCACGUAGCUCCCGGUGAGAGUUCACGGGGAAUUUCCUGGUAAGUGAAUUUAUUUCUCAAGGUUUUCUCCACACACCGAGGGCCGAGCAGGCUCCGGCACGGGCUUGGCUUCCCCACGGCAGGAGCUCGGGGAUGGGUGCAGGCGACGCUGGCUGCGGGGAUCGGGGGGGCAGCGCCUCACUCAUCUUCCAGGAUGCCUCCUCGGCUCCUCGCACACCCCCGGGUUUGUCUCCUAAAACCUCUCGAAGCUGUUUUGUUAACUCGCAAUCCUCCAAGCCUGCCAGCGGCGUCCUUCCCACCUGUAGGAACAAAGGGCUCCUGCAAUGAUAUUUUCUUUUAUUUUUGUGUUUUAUAUGUGAAAUCCGUGGAGGUAAUAAAGGUGUUUCCGUUUCUUUUGUUUCUAUCCCAGGUCGUCUCGCUACCGCAUGAACCCAGGAGUGGGGAAAAACCCACCCUGCAAACCCAGGAGAGCCUGGCCCUGAGAGCCACCAGCCCCGUCUCAGGGGGUCACGGCCACCAGAAGCCCUCGCAGUGGCCGAUCCCACGUGAACCUUCCUCCUCCUCCUUCUCCUCCUCCUCCUCCUGCCUGCAGCCGCUGGCUGGAGCAGCGCAGAGCACGCCUGGUGCCAGCACCGCGGCCACGGGGACACCGGGGACUGCCCUGGGGACAGGCAAGGACACCACUGAGCAUCCCUGUGCCGGGCAGCACCGAGCCUCGUGGCUCGUGGGCAGCCAAAGAGUCACAGAAUCACCGGGGCUGGAAGCGAACUUGAAGAUCAGCAAGCGCAACCGCCAACCUCCUGCGUCCCAGCGCUGCGCCACGGCCCUUGGCACCACCAGAAGACCUCGUGCAUCUCUGCCUGGAGAAGACGUCUCGGUGCUUUUCACGUGGCUCAGGCCUCCUUUGCUGUCCUCCUUCGCCAUCCUCCAGCUCUCUGCAGCGAGGUUUGAGCUCCUGGGAGGUGCCUGUGGGGGAACCACAGCGCUUGUGGCGUCCUGGGCUGGGGCGAGGAGGUUUGGGGUGCUGAGCCCCGCAGCCCUCCCAGCUCCGAGCAGCUCUCCCGUACCACUGGAAGCCCAGGAACUGAAAGUGCUUCGUACCCAGUCCCGCUGA